rnacentral:SRP_RNA from 1 species
GCCUGUAAUAUCAACUAUUUGGGAGGCUGAGACAGGAGGAUCACUUGAGCCCAGGAGUUCUGGGGCACAGCUCACUAUGCCUAUUGGGUGCCUGCAAUAAGUUCAGCAUCAAUAUGUUGACCUCCCAGUAGACAGGGACCACCAGGUUGCCUAAGGGGUGAAUUGGCACAGGUGGAAAUGGAGCAAGUCCAAACUCCUGCGCUGAUAAGUAGUAGGAUUGCACCUGUGAAUAGGCAAAACACUAUAGCCUGGGCAACACAGCAAGACCCCAUCUCU